rnacentral:rRNA from 1 species
GUGGGGAAUUUUGGACAAUGGGCGCAAGCCUGAUCCAGCAAUGCCGCGUGCAGGAAGAAGGCCUUCGGGUUGUAAACUGCUUUUGUACGGAACGAAACGGUCCGGGUUAAUACCCUGGGCUAAUGACGGUACCGUAAGAAUAAGCACCGGCUAACUACGUGCCAGCAGCCGCGGUAAUACGUAGGGUGCAAGCGUUAAUCGGAAUUACUGGGCGUAAAGCGUGCGCAGGCGGUUUUGUAAGACAGGCGUGAAAUCCCCGGGCUCAACCUGGGAAUUGCGCUUGUGACUGGAAGGCUGGAGUGCGGCAGAGGGGGAUGGAAUUCCGCGUGUAGCAGUGAAAUGCGUAGAUAUGCGGAGGAACACCGAUGGCGAAGGCAAUCCCCUGGGCCUGCACUGACGCUCAUGCACGAAAGCGUGGGGAGCAAACAGGAUUAGAUACCCGGGUAGUCC